rnacentral:rRNA from 1 species
AGACAGUGCUGCAUGGCUGUCGUCAGCUCGUGUCGUGAGAUGUUGGGUUAAGUCCCGCAACGAGCGCAACCCUUGUCUUUAAUUGCCAGCAUUCAGUUGGGCACUUUAAAGAGACUGCCGGUGUUAAGCCGGAGGAAGGUGGGAUGACGUCAAGUCCUCAUGGCCUUUAUGCCCAGGGCUACACACGUGCUACAAUGGGUGGUACAAAGAGAUGCCAACUCGCGAGAGCGCGCCAAUCUCAGAAAGCCAUCCUCAGUUCGGAUUGGAGUCUGCAACUCGACUCCAUGAAGUUGGAAUCGCUAGUAAUCGCGGAUCAGCACGCCGCGGUGAAUACGUUCCCGGGCCUU